GUUACCCGGUGGGUCGGUGGAAGCACCUUGCAGUUGAUCAACCAAGACGCGCAUUGCCUCCAGUACUCCAUCAUAUUUCGCAAAGAAAGUGCUCACGCUGUGAGAGAAACUCGGAAGCAAGCUUUGUAUCCACUCCCCGUUUUAACAUCGCAGAAAAGCACGCGUUUUCAUCGAUAAAUGUUGCUUCAGUCACUGAUGACGGAGACGUUCCGAGAAAACCACAAGCUAUCCUGGAACCAGAGAUGAGGAAAGAGAGAAGCCGAGUGUACAGAGGAUGGGAUGAAAAGGGGAUCUGCCUCUCUCAAAUGAUCGACUUCACUUCCUCCACUGACACAGACAGCUCUGUGAGAGACGCAGGUGAGGGGGACAGCUGUCAUAAUAAUGUGCCCACAACAGCUGAUUUGACUACCUGAGUAAUUUAAAGCCUGUAAUACACAACCAGACCAUGGUGCACGGUCACAGCACAACCCCAGUACUGUGACAUGCCACAAUGCCAGGCUGUGUACAAGAACUGACCGAUACGGCAGGCUUUUUGCAAGGUGCCGGAACAUCAGGCAAUGUCCUCAACCGCCCUAUUUGGCAUGUCUCCCCUGACAGCGUAAUGUGUCAACCGCAUAGGAAGGAAGUGAAGAGCACCACUCUCAGUGUGCGCAAGGGUCAGCAUCGAACUCGGCUUCCCUCCACUGACGCUAUUUUCGAGCCUUGGCACACGGCGGCCGACUCCCACUGGGCAACCAGAUGAUCAAAGCCCUCUUGCGUUCGAAAGUGCCAAGAGCCACAGUCUGUGCUGCAUUGCCAGCAUUCCGCCAUCCACAAUCUCUGUCACGCCACUGCGGCGUGCGUGCAAUUUAUGCCAGUGGCCAUUCUGACCAUGGCAAUCCAACGUGGUGACAAGGCCUGAUAUCUUUACACUCUUCUUGCAAAAUAAGGCCAUUCGAUACACAUCAUAUCAUAUUCACAGAUCUUGUUCACACUUUUGAAUGUAAAUCGUUAGUAUUUUCAUUCAUUUGCAGCCUCCUAACAAAGGCUGCUCUUGCUCCUUAGCUGUUUUAUUUUAAUUCAUUACAGCCCCAAGGUGACAUCUGGCUCCACUCUCAAUAGAGAUAUUCCCAACAUGGGUGCAGUAGCCUAGUACUCGAGUUAUCCUAAAAGCUUCAUUUAUGGUGCAUUAAAGAUUUAAAUCACAUUUUGGGCUGUAAAAGCGAAGAUGUUUAAGCUGGUAUCAUGAUACAAUGGAUUUGUGCUAAUCCUCCCUCUGGAGGUAUUGAUCUGGAAGGUGAAAUAAGCCUACCCUGUAUCCAGAUUCAGCUCCUCGUUUUGGGUCUGGAGUGGGUGGAAGAAUCAAUAAGGCAGGAGACCCAGGAGUGGAUCAUUUGUGAACAGCAGCAGGUAUCAGCAUGGCCACUGUGACAGCAGGCC